AGUAGUAGCUUGAUUAACAACAAGACUUGGCCUAGUGUGGUGGUGCGCACCUUUAAUGCCAGAACUCUAGAGGCAGGUGGAGCUGUGAUUUAAGAGGCCAGCUGAUCUACAGAGGCAGGUCCGAGUCAGCUGUUCUGUGUAAAGGUUCCUCUGGUUGAACCAUUCCUUUGUAGGAAGUUAAAAUCUGUACUAAAAGGUUAUGAUUCAUGGAAUCUGUUUGAUGUGGAAGUAGAAUCAUGGUUAGAGCUGAGGUUGGCCAUUAAGUCCUGCUGUGGUUUAGUCCCUGGAAGCUCUGGUUGGUUGGUGGUGUUGUUCAUAUGGGGUCUCAAGUCCCUUCAAGCUCUUUUAGUCCUUUCUCUGAUUUCUUCAACUGGGGUCCUGCGCUCAGUUCACUGGUUUGUUGCUCGCAUUCACCUAUGUAUCUGCCGUAUUCUGGCUGUGUCAAUGAAUAGUUUUAUAUUCCUUUAAAAAAAU
rnacentral:lncRNA from 1 species